rnacentral:rRNA from 1 species
UACGUAGGGGGCUAGCGUUGUCCGGAAUCAUUGGGCGUAAAGAGCGUGUAGGCGGCCCGGUAAGUCCGCUGUGAAAGUCGGGGGCUCAACCCUCGAAUGCCGGUGGAUACUGUCGGGCUAGAGUGCGGAAGAGGCGAGUGGAAUUCCUGGCGUAGCGGUGAAAUGCGCAGAUAUCAGGAGGAACACCUAUUGCGAAGGCAGCUCGCUGGGACGUAACUGACGCUGAGACGCGAAAGCGUGGGGAGCAAACAGG